rnacentral:rRNA from 1 species
ACGGCUCAGUAACACGUGGACAAUCUGCCCUCGAGACGGGGAUAACCCCGGGAAACUGGGGAUAAUACCCGAUAGAUCUGAGAUGAUGGAAGGCUCUCAGGUCCAAAUCCUGCGGGGCUCGAGGAUGGGUCUGCGGCCUAUCAGGUAGUAGGGGGUUUCACGGACCCCCUAGCCAGAGACGGGUACGGGCUUUGGGAGAAGUCGCCCGGAGAUGGAUUCUGAGACACGAAUCCAGGUCCUACGGGACGCAGCAGGCGCGAAAACUGCACAAUGUGGGAAACCACGAUGCGGGAAACCCAAGUGCCAGCACUCUGUGUUGGCUGUCCUCAACUGUUCGUAAGUUGGGAAGAAAGUGCUGGGUAAGACGGGUGCCAGCCGCCGCGGUAAUACCCGCAGCACAAGUGGUGGUCAUUAUUAUUGGGCCUAAAGCGUCCGUAGCUGGCUUGUUAGAUGCCUGGGUAAAUCGAUGCGCUCAACGCAUCGAACUCCGGGUAGACCGGCAAGCUCGAGACCGGGAGAGGCGUGAGCUACUCAAGGGGUAGGGGUAAAAUCCUGUAAUCCUUUGGGGAGGACCAGUGGCGAAGGCGUCACGCUAGAACGGCUCUGACAGUGAGGGACGAAGCCCUGGGGCGCAAACCGGAUUAGAUACCCGGGUAGUCCAGGGUGUAAACGCUGCGGACUUGGUGUCGGUGAUCCUACGAGGGUUGCCGGUGCCGGAGAGAAGUUGUUGAGUCCGCCGCCUGGGGAGUACGGUCGCAAGACUGAAACUUAAAGGAAUUGGCGGGGGAG